UUUUUUCUCGAAAGUAAAAGAUCUAAAUUGGUUUGUUAGUUUUUGUGUCAAAAAGAUUAAAUAAGCUUUUUUAGGUGUGAUAUGCUAAUCGUUUUUACUAAUAUCUAGUAACUUUAGAAAAAAAUUUAGUUUGGGUUAUGAAGGGUUUUUUUAUUUUGAAGAAUUCUUUUUUAUAAACUUAUAUCUCAGGGGAUGAGCUCUGGGGUAAAUUUAAAAGAAAAAAAGGUUUUAUAUUUUUGGUAGGCUUAGAAUUUGCCAUGAGAUAGUGUUAUAAAAUAAAACAAUAAGGUUAAGAUUUAAUUUUCUUUGAGAUUUAUAAAGUUAAUGUAGUAAUAAAAAAAUAGUUGAAAAUAUGAUAGUAUAAGUAGAUAAGAGAAUUUUGGAGAAAAUUUGAAUUCUUCAUGGAUUUUUAGAAACAAGAUUUUUAGCAAAAGAACUCGGCAAAUAAGAUUUCCGAAUGUUUAACAAAAACAUUUCCUCUCAAAAAAGGGAGGUAAGGCCUGCUCACUGAGUUUUGAAGAGCCGCAGUAUCCUGACUGUGCUAAGGUAGCAUAAUCAUUAGUCUUUUAAUUGGAGACUGGUAUGAAUGGCUAAACGAGAAAUCGACUUUUUUUGUUAUAAAAAUUGAAUUUAAUUUUUUAGUGAAAAAGCUAAAAUUUUUCAGAAAGACGAGAAGACCCUAUAGAGUUUUAUAUUUCUGUGAAUUUUUUUUUAAUGGAUUUUUUUGAAAAAAAUUUUUUGGAAAUAUUUUGUUGGGGCGACAUUUAGAUAAGUGAAACUCUUUAUUUUAAAAACUUUGUUGUAAGAAUAAAUUUGAUCCUUUAUAAGAGAUCAUAAGAAAAAAUUACCUUAGGGAUAACAGCGUAAUCUUUUUUGAGAGUUCUAAUCGACAAAAAGGUUUGCGACCUCGAUGUUGGACUAAAAUUUAGGCA
rnacentral:rRNA from 1 species